CACGUAGGCACCAAGCGUUAUCCGGAUUUAUUGGGCGUAAAGAGCUCGUAGGCGGUUCGGUAAGUCGGGUGUGAAAACUCUGGGCUCAACCCCAGAGAGGCCACCCGAUACUGCUGUGACUAGAGUGCGGUAGGGGGAGCGGGGAAUUCCUGGUGUAGCGGUGAAAUGCGCAGAUAUCAGGAGGAACACCGGUGGCGAAGGCGGGUCUCUGGGCCGAUACUGACGCUGAGGAGCGAAAGCGUGGGGAGCGAACAGG
rnacentral:rRNA from 1 species